UUGUCGUCAGCUCGUGUCGUGAGAUGUUGGGUUAAGUCCCCCAACGAGCGCAACCCCUGCCCUUUGUUGCCCCCAUUAAGUUGGGCACUCUAGAGGGACUGCCGAGGAUAAAUCGGAGGAAGGUGGGGAUGACGUCAAAUCAUCAUGCCCCUUAUGGUUAGGGGUACACACGUGCACAAUGGGUGGUACAAAGGGUUGUCAAGCCGCGAGGUGGAGCUAAUCCCUUAAAGCCAUUCUCAGUUCGGAUUGUAGGGUGAAACUCGCCUACAUGAAGCAGGAGUUACUAGUAAUCGCAGAUCAGAAUGCUGCGGUGAAUGCGUUCCCGGGUCUUGUACACACCGCCCGUCACACCAUGGAAGUUGGGGGCGCCCGAAGCCGGUUGCUAACCUUUUGAAGCGGCCUCGAAGGGGAAACCA
rnacentral:rRNA from 1 species